rnacentral:misc_RNA from 1 species
CGCUCACACUCGCUCACUCUCUCUCUCUGUUCAGUUCCGUUUAUCAACCGCAACGCUUCCAGCUCUCGCGCCCCUCCCUCGCCUGCAAGCACACACGUGCAUCCGCCUCUCCUUUCGAUUUUUUUUUCAGGGUCACCAAGCACGUCCACACAGCCGCGCCAUGUCCACUGGGCACAUAGAAGGUCCUGAGAACUCUCUGCAGCCGCUGAUGAAGGGCCCGCGGGCUCCGAGCGACGAUGAGCGUCCCCAUCGCGUAUUCAAAAGCACCGAUGGCAUCGCAGCCAAUAUGAAUGAAGACCUCCGCGCUCGACGCAGCCGCGCCAGCUACGACUACCUUGUCGGAGCCAGCGACGGCCGGAGUCCGGGCAACGCCUGCAACAACUUCGUCUACCACUCCAACCGGAAGCCGACGGGGGGCAGGAGCUUGGAAUACCUUGACGGGGACCAGAACCGCACCUCGAAUGUGACUCACAACCUUGGCGACCAUCAUGACGACCCGCAUUGCUUCGACUCCGACAGCGAUAGCGGCGAUUGCCUCCUCGAUCACCAGAUCCGAAUGCUGGAAGCGAAGAAAGCGGCUGCGAGCUCGCGCAAGUGCGCGAACCCGGGCCCGGUCGGCCUGCUCGGCUUUGGCCUCUCGACGAUCCUGCUGAACCUGCACAACACCGGGAGCUUUCCGCUGUCGACGGUGAUCGUCGCCAUGGGCAUCUGCCUCGGCGGAGGUGCGCAGUUUAUCGCGGGUCUGCUCGAGUGGGUGCGCGGUAACACCUUCGCGUACGUCGCCUUCACCUCGUACGGCGCCUUCUGGCUGUCCCUCGUGUGCGUCUGGAUGCUGCCCAACACGGCCGCCGGCACCUCCAAGCUCGUGGAUCCAGCGAGCGAGUACUUCGUAGGCGUGUACCUCUUCUUGUGGGGCAUCUUCUCCUUCGUCAUGCUUCUGUGCACCAUCCGCAUGAACCUCGCCAUCUUUCUCGUGUUUCUCACCGUGACGCUGCUCUUCCUGAUGCUCGGCUGCAGCAGCAUGGCGAGCAGCGCCGUGGGGCUGCGUGCGGCCGGCUACGAGGGCAUCAUCUGCGGCUCCCUCGCCCUCUACCUCGCCUUUGCCGAGAUUCUGAACGAGAUGUGGGACCGCACAAUCCUGCCGGUGAUCCCGAUGACGCAGGUGCUCGGCUGGAUCGGCGCCUUAAAGGGCUACAAGGCAGCACAGCUGGAUAAGAGGAAUAGGUCAACGCGCAACGUGUCUCAGCAGUCGGGAAGGGGAGUGAGGAGGUAACAACGGACAUGUGCACACACGGGAGGAGAGGAGGGGGUGGGCUCGGGCAGAAGUGUUGUGCCUCUGCCGCUUUCCCUCUCGCUCUCUCCCGCACCCCCUCCAACCCCCUCUUUCUCCGGUGUUCGUGCGUGCGGCGCGGUCUGGAGUCGGAGGAGGCUCGGUUCGAGUUUGGGGUUCGGGGCAUGCGCGCGCGGGGCGAGGGGGUGAUGUUAUCGGUAUAUCGGCGUCAGCCCCGCCCAUCCAGCGGCGCCGCCCUAGUGUCGGGUGUGUGUUCGUGGUGCUGUGCUGUGAUGGUGCUUGAUACAGCUGAGGAUGCAGACGGGCCUCUUUCGACUGUCGGCUUCCUUUUUUUCCGUUCUUCGGCUUUGUUCCCCCCCUGCACGCCCUCGCGCACGCGGAUCCUUCCCGAUCAUCAUACGCUACCCUCCCCCCCCCCUUCUCACGUCCAUCGGCAGGCUUUUGGUGCUGCUUGCUCUUCCUCUUCUCGGGCUUCCGGUUUUGUGGUGGUCGCCAUUUUCUGAGGAGUCACUCUCUCUCUCUGAUGUAGUCCUCCGUUGCACAUGUGAAGAGUGAUGCGCCCUGUGAUAGGGGGGAUGCUGUGAGAAGAGCACAGCAGAAGACUUGGAGAAGGCCUGGAUAGCUGGGGGCUGGACGGGAAUACGCCACAAGAGUGGCAUCUCCCCGUCCACCUUCCUAGCCUUUCCUGGGGAUGGUGUGCUGCUGCGGCGGCCCUCCGUUUUAUGUCUUGUCGUUCCACUUGACACGAUGCUGCCAUUCCUUUGGGGUUAUUCCCUUUCUUCAUCUGCCCGCAUGGUUAUCGUUGUCGUUGUUGCUCCAUUUGGACUGUCACCAUGCUCAUCCCACCAUCGGCACCCUUGACAUCCUUCUCCAUCUUCUGCUGCCCUAACUCCUCUCCCCUCCCCCCUCUCUUUCCAUGCUUACGUGAGCCUUCUGUGUGCGUGUGUGUGUGUGUCUUUUUUUUUUCUUUUCUCUCUGCAAGCGAUCACACACACACGCACGCGCACAGCACGGCAGCCGCGGUUUCGUCUUUAGUUUGAGUUGCUUCCCUCGUGUGGGUGCGUGUGUUCGCUCUUCUUUACUUUUCCUUUUUUCAUUUUGCCCUCCUGCGAGGCCCUCACAUCCCCCCCUUCUCCUCUGUCUGUCUCUGCCCCCGAUGUGGUGGCGCUCACGUGCGUGCGGAGAAAGUGUCUCACACGCAAGUCGCUCGAGCACGCGCCUAUCCGCACGCCCUCCCUCUCUCCCAAAUCACCCCCCCCUUCCUUCACCACAGUUGCGCGUACUCGAAGUGUCGCCUUUCUCCGUCCGUGUUUACGUGUGCGCGUGUGCGUCUGUGAUGUGGGCCUAUGCACAUGCUCGUGUGUGAGGUCGUCGUGGCUGCGUUUCCCCGGUAUAGUGUCUCUCCUCCCCCCUUCCUUCUCCUCCCCCUCCCCCACACACGCACACACGCAGGCAUGUACGCGUGUUUUUGUUGUUCUCUCCCUGCAACCGCUUUCUUGCAUUCAAAACGACGUGCCCUGUGGCCCUCUGUCUUCCCAGUACACACACACACAUGUCUAUCUAUAUAUCUGUCCCUCCCUCCCCUUGUCUGUCUCAGGGCGGGUGGGCAAGUGCCUCUCCUUUCGCAUCGCCCUCGUCAGAUGCUCGUCUCUUUCUUGUUGGUGCUGCGGCGGCUCUCAUCUACCUUCCUCUGCUCCUCUCUGUCAAGCGCCGACAAGACAUGGUGUGCCCAUGUGCGACGCCACGACGGCGAUGGUGAACCCGCGCACGCCCACACACACGCACGCACGCACGCGCGCACGUCUCUGGCCCCUUCUUUGCCGUUUGCGCCCGGAGAGGAUGCAUGAGGGGAGAGGGAGGAGGGAGGAGGGAGGGUCCACCGAUGUGCGUGUGUACGCGCCCGCUCCCUCUCCCUCUUUCGCCUCGCAUCGUUCUCUGGCGCGCCUCUGCCUUUCGUUUGUUCGUGGUGGAGCUCGUUGUUGUUUUCUUUUUUUUUCCGCCCUCCUCACUCUCCUCACUCUGCCGGUCUCAACGUCGUUGGGAAAAGCGAACCCGCCCACCCAGACCCACAUACACACACCGAACUAACCAGCUCCCCUCUCCCCUUCCAAGCCCUCGCACAUGUUGUGGGCUCAUCCUCACCUCGUAUUGGCGCCUUCCUCUGUGUGUGUGUGUGAGAGAGAGACGCGCGUCACACAGAAGAAGAGAUUUGCAGAAAUGGAAAACUGAUUUGCGGGCGCAUCUCUUCUUGUUGAUCUGCUGUAGUGGCGGUGGUGGCAGCGGCUGCCUUCGUCCUUUUCUUGUUCUUCAUGGCGACUGCACGUGUGGACUGCUCCCUGAGCACAGGUCGAUCUUCCCUUGCUUACCAUGCUUGUGUGUCUAUGAUUCUCCCCUCCCCACCCUCUCUCUCCGUUUCCCUUGUUCACUUUUUUUUGCUUUUUGCGGCCUCGCGCAUCCGUGAUGGCACUGAUAUCAAGCGUCU